rnacentral:rRNA from 1 species
AGCAGCAGCCGCGGGAAUACGUAGGUCCCGAGCGUUGUCCGGAUUUAUUGGGCGUAAAGCGAGCGCAGGCGGUUAGAUAAGUCUGAAGUUAAAGGCUGUGGCUUAACCAUAGUACGCUUUGGAAGCUGUUUAACUUGAGUGCAAGAGGGGAGAGUGGAAUUCCAUGUGUAGCGGUGAAAUGCGUAGAUAUAUGGAGGAACACCGGUGGCGAAAGCGGCUCUCUGGCUUGUAACUGACGCUGAGGCUCGAAAGCGUGGGGAGCAAACAGGAUUAGAUACCCCCGUAGUCCCUGUCUCUUAUACC